GCAAUUUAUAUUCGAUUACAACAACAUUCUCAGGAAUCAUAAAUACUACAGUUAUUAUGUCUGUACCAAAAUGCACAACUCUAUCUUCAAAAUUACGCUUAAUUUAAUUUUAAUCAAUCUCGGUGGAGAGAUACCCGCAACUUGAUCGCAUUAGAAUACAUAUGGCACUUUAACAAUCCAUCAGUUAACAACAAAUCUAUCAUUGUUGUUUCAUACCCUGGACUCUGGGACUUGAGAUCUUCGAAAUAAGAGACGCAACUGGAACCAAAGAAUCAAUCUGUGUGAGAUGCGUACAGAAACUACAAUGUCGACUUCGCCGCUGAAGACGAGAAGAUGGAGAUGAAGUCGAUGGCUAUGACGAUGUCGAUGUCGAUGUCGAUGAUGACGGCAACAAGGCAGGCAAGGCAACGCAGUGCAGAGCGACUGCGACUGAUUUGUUUAUUUAUAUAAUUUCAGUCAAGCUCAAUUAGAAACGCAUACACACCACAAUCUCAAUCUCAAUCACAAUCACAUGCAUGCGCGUACGCAUACAACUGAUUUUGGUGUAAAUAUCUUUUUUGUUGUGGCUUUUGGUCUCGUGGCGUUGUUUGGCUUUGGCGCUUUUCACUUUAUUGAUUUAAAAAAAUGAAAAAUUUAUGUCUAAACAAAAUUGCGCCAUGCAGCCAAAAGCCAUUGCCAGUCCCUCUAGGAGCAUAUACAUACAAUACAUACAUACUCGUAUGGAUUGGGAGUGGGAUGCAGACCCUUAGCUGGCGCUGUGGUCAUUGGCGCCACCACUUAAAAACAACAUGAGCAAGAGGCAUGCAACAUGAAGCAAGAAGCAAGACGCUUGGCGGACUUUUCGAAUGUAAAUAAAUAAACAACGAGGCAUGGUGAACAAAUUGGGCCAACAAUUUCUAGCU